rnacentral:rRNA from 1 species
GACGAACGUUGGCGGCGUGCUUAACACAUGCAAGUCGAACGGUAAGGCCCUUCGGGGUACACGAGUGGCGAACGGGUGAGUAACACGUGGGUGAUCUGCCCUGCACUUCGGGAUAAGCCUGGGAAACUGGGCCUAAUACCGGAUAGGACCAUGGACUUCACGGUUUGUGGUGGAAAGCUUUUGCGGUGUGGGAUGGGCCCGCGGCCUAUCAGCUUGUUGGUGGGGUAAUGGCCUACCAAGGCGACGACGGGUAGCCGGCCUGAGAGGGUGUCCGGCCACACUGGGACUGAGAUACGGCCCAGACUCCUACGGGAGGCAGCAGUGAGGAAUAUUGCACAAUGGGCGCAAGCCUGAUGCAGCGACGCCGCGUGAGGGAUGACGGCC